UACGAGGGGGGCAAGCGUUGUCCGGAAUCAUUGGGCGUAAAGGGCGCGUAGGUGGCCCGGUGAGUCUUUGGUGAAAGCGCGGGGCUCAACCCUGCGUCGGCCAGGGAUACUGCCGCGGCUCGAGCACUGUAGAGGCAGGCGGAAUUCCGGGUGUAGCGGUGGAAUGCGUAGAGAUCCGGAAGAACACCGGUGGCGAAGGCGGCCUGCUGGGCAGUGGCUGACGCUGAGGCGCGACAGCGUGGGGAGCAAACAGG
rnacentral:rRNA from 1 species